rnacentral:rRNA from 1 species
UACGGAGGGUGCAAGCGUUGUUCGGAAUUAUUGGGCGUAAAGGGCGCGUAGGCUGUUGUGUAAGUCAGAUGUGAAAUACUUCGGCUUAACCGAAGAACUGCAUUUGAAACUGCACAGCUAGAGUACAGGAGAGGGAAAUGGAAUUCCCGGUGUAGAGGUGAAAUUCGUAGAGAUCGGGAGGAACACCAGUGGCGAAGGCGAUUUCCUGGCCUGAUACUGACGAUGAGGCGCGAAAGAGUGGGGAGCAAACAGG